rnacentral:rRNA from 1 species
CCCUUAGGUGUUCUGGGCCGCACGCGCGCUACACUGUUCGACGCAGCGAGUCUUAACCUUGACCGAAAGGUUUGGGUAAUCUUCAGCAAAGUCGAACGUGAUGGGGAUCGAUCAUUGCAAUUAUUGAUCGUGAACGAGGAAUUCCUAGUAAGUGCAAGUCAUCAGCUUGCGCUGAUUACGUCCCUGCCCUUUGUACACACCGCCCGUCGCUACUACCGAUUGAAUGGUUUAGUGAGAUCUCUGGAUUGACGCUGGCUAGGGGGCGACCCUUGGCCAGGCUGUCGAGAAACUGCUCAAACUUGAUCAUUUAGAGGAAGUAAAAGUCGUAACA